GGAGCUGUAGCUCAGUGGUAGAGCUUGCCUAGCAUGCAUGAGGCACUGGGUUCAAUCCACAGCACCA
rnacentral:tRNA from 1 species